rnacentral:SRP_RNA from 1 species
GUUGGGUGUGGUGAUGCACACCUGUAGUCCCAGCUACUCAGGAGGCUGAGGUGGGAGGAUCACUUGAGCCCAGGAGUUUGAGGCUGCAGAGAGCUAUGAUGGUGCCACUACACUCCAGCCUGGGCAAUAGAGAAAGACUCUGUCUCUU